UACGGAGGGUGCAAGCGUUGUUCGGAAUUACUGGGCGUAAAGCGCACGUAGGCGGGUUUGUAAGUCGAUUGUGAAAUCCCCGAGCUUAACUUGGGAAUUGCAGUCGAAACUGCAGAUCUUGAAUGUUUGAGAGGAUGGCGGAAUUCCUGGUGUAGUAGUGAAAUACGUAGAUAUCAGGAAGAACACCAGAGGCGAAGGCGGCUAUCUGGCAAUACAUUGACGCUGAGGUGCGAAAGCGUGGGGAGCAAACAGG
rnacentral:rRNA from 1 species